rnacentral:rRNA from 1 species
AUUGAACGCUGGCGGCAUGCCUUACACAUGCAAGUCGAACGGCAGCACGGAGCUUGCUCUGGUGGCGAGUGGCGAACGGGUGAGUAAUAUAUCGGAACGUACCCAAGAGUGGGGGAUAACGUAGCGAAAGUUACGCUAAUACCGCAUACGAUCUCAGGAUGAAAGCAGGGGACCUUCGGGCCUUGUGCUCCUGGAGCGGCCGAUAUCCGAUUAGCUAGUUGGUGGGGUAAAGGCCCACCAAGGCAACGAUCAGUAGCUGGUCUGGGAGGACGACCAGCGACACUGGAACUGAGACACGGUCCAGACUCCUACGGGAGGCAGCAGUGGGGAAUUUUGGACAAUGGGGGCAACCCUGAUCCAGCAAUGCCGCGUGAGUGAAGAAGGCCUUCGGGUUGUAAAGCUCUUUUGUCAGGGAAGAAAAGGGAUUGGCUAAUAUCUAGUCCUCAUGACGGUACCUGAAGAAUAAGCACCGGCUAACUACGUGCCAGCAGCCGCCGCGG